rnacentral:rRNA from 1 species
AGAGUUUGAUCCUGGCUCAGGAUGAACGCUGGCGGCGUGCCUAACACAUGCAAGUCGAACGAAGCGCCCGCGCGGAUUCCCUCGGGAUGAAGCGCGGAUGACUGAGUGGCGGACGGGUGAGUCACGCGUGGGCAACCUGCCCCGUGCCGGGGGACAACAGCCGGAAACGGCUGCUAAUACCGCAUGAUCCGGGAGGGCCGCAUGGCCCUGCCGGGAAAGCUCCGGCGGCACGGGAUGGGCCCGCGUCUGAUUAGUUUGUUGGCGGGGUAACGGCCCACCAAGACUGCGAUCAGCAGCCGGCCUGAGAGGGCGGCCGGCCACAUUGGGACUGAGACACGGCCCAGACUCCUGCGGGAGGCAGCAGUGGGGAAUAUUGCACAAUGGGGGAAACCCUGAUGCAGCGACGCCGCGUGGGCGACGAAGCGCUCCGGCGCGUAAAGCCCUGUCAGCAGGGAAGAACAAAGACAGUACCUGACCAAGAAGCCCCGGCUAACUACGUGCCAGCAGCCGCGGUAAUACGUAGGGGGCAAGCGUUAUCCGGAUUCACUGGGCGUAAAGGGAGCGCAGGCGGCACGGCAAGUCUGGUGUGAAAGCCCGGGGCCCAACCCCGGGACUGCAUUGGAAACUGCCGGGCUGGAGUGCCGGAGGGGUAAGCGGAAUUCCUGGUGUAGCGGUGAAAUGCGCAGAUAUCAGGAAGAACACCGGUGGCGUAGGCGGCUUACUGGACGGCAACUGACGCUGAGGCUCGAAAGCGUGGGGAGCAAACAAAGAUUAGAUACCCUGGUAGUCCACGCCGUAAACGAUGA